rnacentral:rRNA from 1 species
UCCCAGACUCCUACGGGAGGCAGCAGUGGGGAAUAUUGCGCAAUGGGGGAAACCCUGACGCAGCAACGCCGCGUGAGUGAAGAAGUAUCUCGGUAUGUAAAGCUCUAUCAGCGGGGAAGAAGGAAGACGGUACCCGACUAAGAAGCCCCGGCUAACUACGUGCCAGCAGCCGCGGUAAUACGUAGGGGGCGAGCGUUAUCCGGAUUUACUGGGUGUAAAGGGCGUGUAGCCGGGAAGGCAAGUCAGAUGUGAAAUCCGGAGGCUCAACCUCCGAAUUGCAUUUGAAACUGUUUUUCUUGAGUACUGGAGAGGCAGACGGAAUUCCUUGUGUAGCGGUGAAAUGCGUAGAUAUAAGGAGGAACACCAUUGGCGAAGGCGGUCUGCUGGACAGCAACUGACGGUGAGGCGCGAAAGCGUGGGGAGCAAACAGGAUUAGAUACCCCAGUAAC